AAAUUUCAUGUUUACACUUUCUCUCAUACCACAAUUCACUUAUACUACUAGUACAAGGACAUUUUUAUAAAUACACUUUUCAUUAAUGAUCAAAUUACAUUACUACCCAUCAUCUGUUUCUCUUCUCUCACGUGAUUCCUCUUCACCUCCUCCGUCGAGUCCAGCAUUUCUCUCACACACUAUCGGCGACGAUGACUCCGGCGACGAGAUCGACGACUCCGGCGUGGAAUCUGAAAUAGAAAAGGAGGAAGGCACGUCUCUUAAACAACCCCCCGCAAGAGGCGUCGCUUAGAGGCAGGUGUCGAAACAAGACUGGGUGAAGGAGAGAUGGUGUUUCGGCCUUCUCGGCUUCUCUCUCUCUCGAAUCCUUCUCGGCCUUCUCAAGCUUGUCUCCCUCGGUUGAUCUCGUCGGCGAUCUAGCUCUCGUCGGCGUUCUCCCUGUCUUGAUUCCUCUCGUCAGGCUCACCCUUUGGCCUUCUCUCUCUCGAUUCCUCUCGUCGGUGGCUCUGCUCUUCUCCGCGUCGUUUCAAAUCAAAAGACAAUCUUGAAGAUCCCGGGUUUCACUGAUAACGUUGUCACUCAUAUUCUAUCUGGACUAGGAGCCGGAUUCUUUGAUGUCUGCAUUGGUUCCCCUGCUGACGUGGUUAAGUCAAGAAUGAUGGGAGAUCAGAUUGUUAAAUUAUUUAUAAUGGUGUACAUAUAAUUUAUAAAUAUUUAUAAAGUCACUAUAAAUGAUUCUUAGUCUUUAUAAGGCUUUAUAUAUUACAAAUGUUAUUGUAAAAGGUUUAUAAAAACGUUAU